rnacentral:rRNA from 1 species
AUUGAACGCUGGCGGCAGGCCUAACACAUGCAAGUCGAACGGUAACAGGAAGCAGCUUGCUGCUUUGCUGACGAGUGGCGGACGGGUGAGUAAUGUCUGGGAAACUGCCUGAUGGAGGGGGAUAACUACUGGAAACGGUAGCUAGUACCGCAUAACGUCGCAAGACCAAAGAGGGGGACCUUCGGGCCUCUUGCCAUCGGAUGUGCCCAGAUGGGAUUAGCUAGUAGGUGGGGUAACGGCUCACCUAGGCGACGAUCCCUAGCUGGUCUGAGAGGAUGACCAGCCACACUGGAACUGAGACACGGUCCAGACUCCUACGGGAGGCAGCAGUGGGGAAUAUUGCACAAUGGGCGCAAGCCUGAUGCAGCCAUGCCGCGUGUAUGAAGAAGGCCUUCGGGUUGUAAAGUACUUUCAGCGGGGAGGAAGGGAGUAAAGUUAAUACCUGUGCUCAUUGACGUUACCCGCAGAAGAAGCACCGGCUAACUCCGU